rnacentral:lncRNA from 1 species
CUGAUUGUUCCACAUGCAUUGGCAGCUGGCUCCUCAGGUGCAGGAUCCAUUAUCACAUAUAGGAUCCGUUCAUGCUCUAGGACUAUCUUCAACUUUCGGUACCAGCUACUGAAGUUGGAUCCCACCAACUUAUCAUUGUCCAACAAUGAUCAGAGCGAUAGGGAAGUGGCCAUGUCUGUACAAAAGAAAACCAUAACCUAAUUAGUAAUUGAUUCAUUAAACCUA